rnacentral:rRNA from 1 species
GAUGAACGCUAGCUAUAGGCUUAACACAUGCAAGUCGAGGGGAAACGGCAUUAUGUGCUUGCACAUUUUGGACGUCGACCGGCGCACGGGUGAGUAUCGCGUAUCCAACCUUCCCUCCACUCGGGGAUACCCCGUUGAAAGACGGCCUAAUACCCGAUGUUGUCCACAUAUGGCAUCUGACGUGGACCAAAGAUUCAUCGGUGGAGGAUGGGGAUGCGUCUGAUUAGCUUGUUGGUGCGGGUAACGGCCCACCAAGGCGACGAUCAGUAGGGGUUCUGAGAGGAAGGUCCCCCACAUUGGAACUGAGACACGGUCCAAACUCCUACGGGAGGCAGCAGUGAGGAAUAUUGGUCAAUGGACGUAAGUCUGAACCAGCCAAGUAGCGUGCAGGAUUGACGGCCCUAUGGGUUGUAAACUGCUUUUGUUGGGGAGUAAAGUGAGGCACGCGUGCCUUUUUGCAUUUACCCUUCGAAUAAGGACCGGCUAAUUCCGUGCCAGCAGCCGCGGUAAUACGGAAGGUCCAGGCGUUAUCCGGAUUUAUUGGGUUUAAAGGGAGUGUAGGCGGUCUGUUAAGCGUGUUGUGAAAUUUAGGUGCUCAACAUUUAACUUGCAGCGCGAACUGGCGGACUUGAGUGCACGCAACGUAUGCGGAAUUCAUGGUGUAGCGGUGAAAUGCUUAGAUAUCAUGACGAACUCCGAUUGCGAAGGCAGCGUACGGGAGUGUUACUGACGCUUAAGCUCGAAGGUGCGGGUAUCGAACAGG